AACGAACGCUGGCGGCAGGCUUAACACAUGCAAGUCGAGCGCGGCCUUUCGGGGCUGAGCGGCGGACGGGUGAGUAACGCGUGGGAACGUGCCCUUCUCUCUGGAAUAGCCCUGGGAAACCGGGAGUAAUGCCGGAUACGCCCUUUGGCAGCGAUGCCUUUGGGGAAAGAUUUAUCGGGGAAGGAUCGGCCCGCGUUGGAUUAGGUAGUUGGUGGGGUAACGGCCUACCAAGCCGACGAUCCAUAGCUGGUUUGAGAGGAUGACCAGCCACACUGGGACUGAGACACGGCCCAGACUCCUACGGGAGGCUG
rnacentral:rRNA from 1 species